AGAGUUUGAUCCUGGCUCAGGAUGAACGCUAGCUACAGGCUUAACACAUGCAAGUCGAGGGGAAACGACAUCGAAAGCUUGCUUUUGAUGGGCGUCGACCGGCGCACGGGUGAGUAACGCGUAUCCAACCUGCCCAUCACUUGGGGAUAACCUUGCGAAAGUAAGACUAAUACCCAAUGACGUCUCUAGAAGACAUCUGAAAGAGAUUAAAGAUUUAUCGGUGAUGGAUGGGGAUGCGUCUGAUUAGCUUGGUUGGCGGGGUAACGGCCCACCAAGGCGACGAUCAGGUAGGGGUUCUGAGAGGAAGGUCCCCCANAUUGGAACUGAGACACGGUCCAAACUCCUACGGGAAGCA
rnacentral:rRNA from 1 species